AUGAAGCAAGAGAUUGAGAGAUUGAGGCUAUGGCAGAAAGUCAUGGAGGAGCAGCGACCAAGACUGGCCUGGAACAACAAACCUAUUGAAACAGGAAGAGAGAGGGAAAGAGAGAGGGAAAAAGAGAGAGAAAGGGAGAUGGAAAGUGAGAGAAAAGCAGAAUUGGAAAAACAAGAAAUGAAGAAGAAAGUGGAACAGGCAGAAGAAACGAUAAAAGCGUUAGAACGAGAGAUUGAGAGAUUGAAAGAGAUUGAGAAGGAAAUCAUAUUUGAAAGAGAAAGAGACAUGCGUAUUGCAGAGAAUGAGAAAGUCAAACUGGUCAACGAAAAGGUAAAAGAGUUAGAGAGAGAGGUUGAGAGACUGAAAGAAGAGAUUAGAUUGAAAGACGAGACUGAACCAGAGAGACCAUUUGAUAGAGACAGAGAGAGAGAAAAUGAUUGGAGACGAAGUGAAGAGGAGAUGAAAAAUAGAGUGGAGAGAGAGAUGGAGAUGGAGACAGCCCUCAUCAAUGACAAAAAUACGUCUGAAUUGGAGGAAGUCUUCAAGAAAAUCAAGGAACAGCAGAUAGAAUUAGAAAAUAUGGAAACAGACAAAUAUAAAUGGAAACAGAACCAAAUGGACAUGGAGGAGAAGAUGGAGGGUGAGCACAACAAACAGAAAGAGGUAGAAAGAAAGAGAAUGGAGAAAAUACCAAAACAGAGACAAGAAGAAGAUGAGAAGAAGAAGGAGAUGGAGAGAGAAGAAGAAGAGGAGAGACGCAAACAGAAGCACAUAGAGAUGGAAGAGGAAGAAAGAGAGAGGGAGAAAGAGAGACAGAGACAGAUCAAAAGAAAGAUAAUGGAAAAGAGACAAAAACAUAUCGAAAGAGAAGAAGAGAGACAGAAAGAGAUUGAAAGAGAGAAUGAAGAAGAAAGAUGUAAACAGAAGAAAAUAGAGAUGGAAGAGGAAGAACGAGAGAGGGAGAAAGAGAGACAGAGAGAGAUCAAAAGAAAGAUAAUGGAAAAGAGACAAAAACAUAUCGAAAGAGAAGAAGAGAGACAGAAAGAGAUUGAAAGAGAGCACGAAGAAGAAAGAUGUAAACAGAAGAAAAUAGAGAUGGAAGAGAAAGAAAGAGAAGAAGAGAGACAGAGAGAGAUUGAAAGAGAGCACGAAGAAGAAAGAUGUAAACAGAAGCAAAUAGAGAUGGAAGAGGAAGAACGAGAGAGGGAGAAGAGACAGAGAGAGAUCAAAAGAAAGAUAAUGGAAAAGAGACAAAAACAUAUCGAAAGAAAAGAAGAGAGACAGAAAGAGAUUGAAAGAGAGCACGAAGAAGAAAGAUGUAAACAGAAGCAAAUAGAGAUGGAAGAGGAAGAACGAGAGAGGGAGAAAGAGAGACAGAGAGAGAUCAAAAGAAAGAGAAUGGAGAAGAGACAGAAAAACAUGGAAAGAGAAGUGAGACAGAAAGAGAUUGAAAGAGAGAAUGAAGAACAACUAUUUAAACAGAAGCAAAUAGAGAUGGAAGAGGAAGAAAGAGAAGAAGAGAGACAGAGAGAGAUCAAAAGAGAGAAUGAAGAAGAAAGAUGUCAACAGAAGCAAAUAGAGAUGGAAGAGGAAGAAAGAGAAGAAGAGAGACAGAGAGCGAUCGAAGAGAAAGAGAGACAGAGAGAGAUUGGAGAGAAAGAAAGACGACAACAGCAAGAGGAGAGAAAGAUCAUGUUUGAGAGUGAUCAAGAAGAAGAAAAUAUAUGGAAACAGAAGCAAAUUGACAUGGAGGAGGGAAGAGAGAGGGAGAACAAGAGACAGAGAGAGAUAGAAGAGAUACACAGACGACAACAACAAGAGGAGAGACAGAAACAAAAGGAGAAGGAGAAAGAAAGGGAGAAAGACAAUGACAAUCAGAGAGAGAUGGAAUUAAAAGAUCAGCAACAGAAAGAGAUGGAGAAAGAAAAGAUGAUUAUGAGAGAAAGGGAGGAAGCAGGAAGCAGAAAGGAGGGGCAGAAUUUUUUUGGGGGGGAAAUUGAGGGACAGAAUGAACUGGAGAUAGAACAGGAGAGAGAGAUGGAAGAAAAGCAGGAAGUGAUUAAGGAAGCAGAGGAAGAGUACAGGGAAAGAGAAGAGAGAGGAAAGGAAGUAAGCAUGAAGAAACAUGUAGUAGUUAAUGUUAAAGCAAAAGCACGGGAAGUCUUCAAUAGGCGUAAAGAGAGGAGGUUAGAAGUGUUGAAGGGGGAGCGAGAACACAUAGAAAGAGGACAACAAAUCAGGAGGGAGAAGGAGGAAAGACGGCUGGAGAUGGAAAGAAAACAGGAGAGGGCAAGACAACAAGAGGAGCAGGAUAAAAAACGAGAGAUUGAAAUUGCUAGACAGAAAGAAAUGUUGAGACUAAGAGAGGAGGAGAGGCAGAGAGAGGAAGAGAGAGAGGAGGAGAGAAAGAAAGCCAUUAAAUGCCUUUUAUCUUUAAUCAGAGAGAGAGAAAAAAUAAUACAGGCAAAAAAAAGAGAGGAGAUGGUGGAAGAGGAAAGAAGGGAGAUCCUUGAGUACAAGAGGGGUGACUUAGAGGAGGAGGAAAAAGAAGAUGACAAGGAGGACAUUCUCCCACCCGAUAAAAGUAUCCGAAGGAGAGCCGUGGGCUGGGUGAAUAAAAAAUGGGAGAAGAGGAACCUCAGAAAGAUAGAGAGAACGUAUCAGAGAGAGGCUGAGGAGGGCCAUAAGAUCGUCCACAUAGCCAUCCCUGGACACACAAGGCUAACAUCCACCAUGACCCGGGCAGAGAGAGAGAGGGAGAAGAGGAAGGAGCUGCUGAAGGCUGAGGAGAGAAGGAAGAAGAUGGAGGAUUUCAAUAAGCAGUGGAGAGAGCGGUCCCUGCUUAAAAAACAGACUCAUCAACAACUGAAGGAGGAGAGGGAGAGGAUGAAGGAAAACUACCUGGAUCAGAUGAAUCUGGAGGCUGAUGCUCAAAUCAACACCCGGUGUCUAACCACCCAACACAGCCACGAUUACAACCACGGUCAGGAGUUGCCCGGGUGGGCCAAUGGCCAACAAGUAAGCCAAGAGCCCACUGGAUCUGCUGAUGGCCACCAGGAAAGGCCAAGGAGGCAACAGGCAUGGGCAGAGAACCAGGAGGGGAGUUCAGAGAACCAUCAGGGGGGGCCAGAGAACCAUCAGGGGGGGCCAGACAGCCAGCAGCUAGAAGCUCCAGAAGAGGUUGAAACAUCAGAGCGAAUAUCCAAGACAAAGAAAAAGCCAAGCAUCUGGAAGAAAAUUAGGAUGAGGUAAAGAAUGUUUAAACAUCUAUUCAUGUUUUACACUGUUAAUAUACAUGUCAUCACUUUAAAAAGUGACAUUAUCCAAAUGUGAGGGUUUAGUGUACAUGCAACACACAUGUAAAUAUAUAGAUACUUACCUGUCUCUGUGAUGUCUUACAGCCUCCCUGACGUGCUGUCUGCCUAGAGCUGGAACUCGAUGAAGCCACAGUUCCACUGAGGUUACGUUGGUAAUUAAAAGUGUCGCCCAAUAAUUCCUCCUCCUCUUUAAGUCAUCGAGCCACAUGUCCUCCUCAAAACAUUAUAGUCUCCUCAAGCCAGCAAGUAUCCUCUUUAUCAGGCAACAAACCAUCGAAGGUCAGUGACCCUCCUCCCAAGAACAGAGACUCUCAUCUGUAUCCAAGUUAAAUUAAUCUCUGCUUACCACCUCUACAGUCCUAGAAAAUAUCCCCAAAAUGGAAAUGGUUUCAACAGAAGUCCUCCCCUCAGACCAGUGGCUCCACAGACCAGAGUUUCUCAUCUUUAUUCAAGUUGAAUGCAACUCUGAUCAUUUUCACCACCUCUCCUGUUAAGGGGAGGUGCUGAAAAGGAGGUCUGGGAGGAGGUCUGCAGGUAGCCUGGACCGGACCGGUAGCAGCUAAGUUGCUGGCUCCAUCCCCGGGCAGAGCUGCUCAAGUCAGGCCAGUGAUGUUUGAUGAUGUCAUUUUUGUUAGCAAAGUUUUACUCUUUAAUAAAAGCAUUUAGUAAAAAAGCAAUGUUGUUGUUACGGUGUGGAUUGUUUUGUUAUUUAUUAGAAUUGAAACAUCCAGUAGUCAUGGUAGAUGUUAGACUUUCAAUGAGACACCUAACAUUCCAUCAGUUUGAUACAAUGUGUGACAUGUUAUAUUAGAGAGGAGUCCUCUAUACACAUCUAUUUUAGACCAUAGGAGUAAUAUCAGAUUGAAAUAGCUUCUCUAAGAGUCUGAGGAGAGAGCAACAGUAGACGCAUCGUUAGCUCUCCCACCUCCAGUUCAGUACUCGGGUCAUUCCACCAAUUGAGCACCUUUUGGGGGGUGUAACUUUAUAUUUCACCUAAUUCUAACAUUCUGUCAUAAAGAGCACAUGUUCAACUUAAUACAAAACAUGUUUUUCCAUCUCAAAGUAACAAAUACAUACUAUAGUAAGUGCCUAUUAAGUGCCAAAUAAAGUGACAGGGUUGACUGUAACAGAGUUGACUAUUUCAUCUAGAAUCGACCAUAGAUCCCCAUGUGACAGGGGGAAUGGAAUGCAAGCUUACCAAACACAUGUAAAUAGUUUAAACAUUUCUAGACUGUCUAUCUAUAGGUAACAGGGUUGGUGUGUUAUAAUUCACCCACCCAGUGGUGAUUGCAGCAUGUACAUCUUGGUGGGGAAAACUCCCCCAAAAUGUUUUAGAUGAAUGCCAGCAAAGCCACUACACAACACAACACUAAACAAUACAUUAAUUGCACUAUAAAUUUAACAAACGGUGCCCACAAACUGUUAGGGUCGACAUAAAGCUGUCCCAACAGCAGAGCUUUCUUUUCAGCACCAUGGAGAGAAUCCUUUUUAAAAAACAUAGCUGAUAUGGCUGACUUGCUUAAACAAAUGUGGUUUCUACUGACAAUUGAGAUGUACAAACUAUGGCAUAAGGGGACAACGAGUGGACUACAGGAUAUCUGUAAUUUAGAUUAAGACAAUGAGAGACCUAGGAUGGACGUCGUCAAUAUAACUAUUUGUUCAGCACUUUUGAAAUGUACAGCGACAGAAUUUUGAACAUGGGCCAUUCUUACAGUAUUCUCCCUGUACACCAAGUCAUAACUGCAUAUAAGCAGACAAUGAAAGCUCUUACAAUAUUUGAUGAUUACAUUUCUCUAAAACAGGCUAUAGUCUACAUGUACAAGACUCCCAAAAUGUUAUCAGCAUAUUGAUUGCGCAACCAGGGGUGGAAAGACCUUGGAUCAUUGUUACUCUAACUUCCGCGACGCAUAUAAGGCCCUGCCACGCCCCCCUUUCGGAAAAGCUGACCACGACUCAAUUUUGUUGAUCCCUGCCUACAGACAGAAACUAAAACAAGAGGCUCCCACGCUGAGGUCUGUCCAACGCUGGUCCGACCAAGCUGACUCCACACUCCAAGACUGCUUCCAUCACGUGGACUGGGACAUGUUUCGUAUUGCGUCAGACAACAACAUUGACGAAUACGCUGAUUCGGUGUGCGAGUUCAUUAGAACGUGCAUUGAAGAUGUCGUUCCCAUAGCAACGAUUAAAACAUUCCCUAACCAGAAACCGUGGAUUGAUGGCAGCAUUCGCGUGAAACUGAAAGCACGAACCACUGCUUUUAAUCAGGGCAAGGUGUCUGGUAACAUGACCGAAUACAAACAGUGCAGCUAUUCCCUCCGCAAGGCUAUCAAACAAGCUAAGCGUCAGUACAGAGACAAAGUAGAUCUCAAUUCAACGGCUCAGACACAAGAGUCCUGUGGUCAGGUGUCUACAGUCAUCACGGACUACAGGAAGAAUCCAGCCCAGUCACGGACCAGGAUGUCCUGCUCCCAGGCAGACUAAAUAACUUUUUUGCCCGCUUUGAGGACAAUACAGUGCCACUGACACGGCCUGCAACGAAACAUGCGGUCUCUCCUUCACUGCAGCCGAGGUGAGUAAGACAUUUAAACGUGUUAACCCUCGCAAGGCUGCAGGCCCAGACGGCAUCCCCAGCCGCGCCCUCAGAUCAUGCGCAGACCAGCUGGCCGGUGUGUUUACUGACAUAUUCAAUCAAUCCCUAUACCAGUCUGCUGUUCCCACAUGCUUCAAGAGGGCCACCAUUGUUCCUGUUCCCAAGAAAGCUAAGGUAACUGAGCUAAACGACUACCGCCCCGUAGCACUCACUUCCGUCAUCAUGAAGUGCUUUGAGAGACUAGUCAAGGACCCAUAUCACCUCCACCCUACCUGACACCCUAGACCCCACUCCAUUUUGCUUACCGCCCAAAUAGGUCCAGAGACGAUGCAAUCUCAACCACACUGCACACUGCCCUAACCCAUCUGGACAAGAGGAAUACCUAUGUGAGAAUGCUGUUCAUUGACUACAGCUCGGCAUUCAACACCAUAGUACCCUCCAAGCUCGUCAUCAAGCUCGAGACCCUGGUCUCGACCCGCCCUGUGCAACUGGGUACUGGACUUCCUGACGGGCCGCCCCAGGUGGUGAGGGUAGGCACAACAUCUCCUCCCCGCUGAUCCUCAACACUGGGGCCCCACAAGGGUGCGUUCUGAGCCCUCUCCUGUACUCCCUGUUCACCCACGACUGCGUGGCCACGCACGCCUCCAACUCAAUCAUCAAGUUUGCGGACGACACAACAGUGGUAGGCUUGAUUACCAACAACGACGAGACGGCCUACAGGGAGGAGGUGAGGGCCCUCGGAGUGUGGUGUCAGGAAAAUAACCUCACACUCAACGUCAACAAACUAAGGAAUGAUUGUGGACUUCAGAAACAGCAGAGGGACACCCCCCUAUCCACAUCGAUGGAACAGUAGUGGAGAGGGUAGCAAGUUUUAAGUUCCUCGGCAUACACAUCACAGACAAACUGAAUUGGUCCACUCACACAGACAGCAUUGUGAAGAAGGCGCAGCAGCGCCUCUUCAACCUCAGGAGGCUGAAGAAAUUCGGCUUGUCACCAAAAGCACUCACAAACUUCUACAGAUGCACAAUCGAGAGCAUCCUGGCGGGCUGUAUCACCGCCUGGUACGGCAACUGCUCCGCCCUCAACCGUAAGGCUCUCCAGAGGGUUAGUGAGGUCUGCACAACGCAUCACCGGGGCAAACUACCUGCCCUCCAGGACACCUACACAAAACCCGAUGUCACAGGAAGGCCAUAAAGAUCAUCAAGGACAUCAACCACCCGAGCCACUGCCUGUUCACCCCGCGAUCAUCCAGAAGGCGAGGUCAGUACAGGUGCAUCAAAGCUGGGACCGAGAGACUGAAAAACAGCUUCUAUCUCAAGGCCAUCAGACUGUUAACAGCCACCACUAACAUUGAGUGGCUGCUGCCAACACACUGACACUGACUCAACUCCAGCCACUUUAAUAAUGGGAAUUGAUGGGAAAUUAUGUAAAUAUAUCACUAGCCACUUUAAACAAUGCUACCUUAUAUAAUGUUACUUACCCUACAUUAUUCAUCUCAUAUGCAUACGUAUAUACUGUACUAUAUCAUCGACUGUAUCCUUAUGUAAUACAUGUAUCACUAGCCACUUUAACUAUGCCACUUUGUUUACAUACUCAUCUCAUAUGUUAUACUGUACUCGAUACCAUCUACUGUAUCUUGCCUAUGCUGCUCUGUACCAUCACUCAUUCAUAUAUCCUUAUGUACAUAUUCUUUAUCCCCUUACACUGUGUACAAGACAGUAGUUUUGGAAUUGUUAGUUAGAUUACUUGUUGGUUAUUACUGCAUUGUCAGAACUAGAAGCACAUUCUUCUCCAAAGGUUAGCUCUGACAUGCUUGUGCCACCAGUGGCACCCUCAGAAUGUGGUGAGUUCUGAGGAUGCUCCAACAGCUCAUUGGGUAUAAACGGCGGUACAUUCGAAAUCGUUACCCUUGAUGACGGAGAGAAAGCGCCGUAACUUGAAUAAACAUUCCUUUAAGAAGUACGCCAUGCUCAACCAUACGAUCUACAAGACUCUCUUCUUUAAGAAGUACGCCAUGCUCAACCACGAUCUACAAGACUCUCUUCUUUAAGAAGUACACCAUGCUCACCAUACGAUCUACAAGACUCUCUUCUUUAAGAAGUACACCAUGCUCAACCAUAACGAUCUACAAGACUCUCUUCUUUAAGAAGUACACCAUGCUCAACCAUACGAUCUACAAGACUCUCUUCUUUAAGAAGUACGCCAUGCUCAACCAUACGAUCUACAAGACUCUCUUCUUUAAGCAAAACCACCACCCCUUUAUUCAUCCGUGAUGCAUAAGCAACAUUC
ensembl:lncRNA